rnacentral:misc_RNA from 1 species
GAUGAAGAACGCAGUGAAAUGCGAUACUUGGUGUGAAUUGCAGAAUCCCGUGAACCAUCGAGUCUUUGAACGCAAGUUGCGCCCGAAGCCUCGGCUAAGGGCACGUCUGCCUGGGCGUCACGCAUCGCGUCUCCCCCAAACCGCCAAGGCGGAGGGGAAGGAAGAUGGCUUCCCGUGCCUCACCCGGCGCGGUUGGCCUAAAUUUGGAGCCCGCGGCACUUAGCUCACGCGGCGAUAGGUGGUGAACAAGGCCUUGGCCGUGCAAACAACCCGCUGCGAAGCUCUAUGUCACGUGCGCUCGUCGGACCCUUUGAAGUUGCCUUCGGUGACUUAAAACCUUUGCGACCCCAGGUCAGGCGGGGCUACCCGCUGAAUUUAAGCAUAUCAAUAAGCGGAGGA